GACGAACGCUGGCGGCGUGCUUAACACAUGCAAGUCGAACGAAGUGGCGAACGGGUGAGUAACGAGUAAUCAACCUGCCCUUCAGAGGGGGACAACAGUUGGAAACGACUGCUAAUACCGCAUACUGAAGGAGGGGAUUGCGUCUGUUUAGCUAGUUGGGGGGGGAACGGCCCACCAAGGCGAUGAUCAGUAACCGGUCUUGGGGGGUUGACCGGCACAAUGGGACUGGGGAACGGGCCAGGAUCCCUCGGGGAGGAGGAGUGGGGAAACUUCCGGCAUGGACGAAAGUCUGACGGCGGAACGGCGCGGGAGUGGUAGCAGGCUUCGGGUUGUAAAGCUCUGUUAAUCUGGGCGCGGUACCGAAAUAGAAAGCCACGGCUAACUACGUGCCAGCAGCCGCGGUAAUAC
rnacentral:rRNA from 1 species